UUUCCUUUCUUUAUGUUCCCUACGCUCUCUCUCAAAAUUCUAUACUUUUAAUUCUUAUUUUUAUUUUACCCUAUAAUAAUAAUAAAGCCCUGCUUCGUUUUAAGUAUUGUAACUCCCGGUCACCGCUACCCUUUCCGAUUGAUCUGAAAUCCAUAACUCAUGUCAGGGCUCUGCCCGACUAAGUUGUUGGGAUUCUAUCUCGGGACAUCGGGACAAGGUUGAUUUAGGAGUACUAUACUUACCACGAGUGCAUUAUAUAUUUUUAAUAGCCCAAAAGUUAUACCCAAAAUUUAUACCAGGAGGUUUUCUAGUCAAACCCUAAAGUUACAAAGUGGGUCCAUUCUCUUUUCUCACUAUUUUAUUCCCUUUUUCUUUAUAAUAUAAUUAUAUUCAAAAAUAUCCCAAAUCGAUCCAUACGUAAAAACCCGGACCCCUGAAACCCCAAUCCAUAUCAAAAAUCAAGAAAACAAGAUUUGUGGUCUUCAGGCGGGCCGCGUAAAGAUAAGCCGAGGCUUACGCGGGCCGCGACAGCAAGGCAAAUCUCCAGAUAAGCUUAAGGGACACGUGGUAUUCACCUGGCAAACCUACUGGUGACUCAGCAACCCUACGCGUAGGCUAGGCGACUACGCGGGCCGCGUAAGAGUCGAGCCAAGGCUCACGCGGGCCGCGUGAAACCCAAAUUCCAGCUAUAAAUAGAGCAGGCUACGAGCAGUCCUCUGGUGUCGAAAGUUUCUUUCAGAAACGAAGUUAUACUGUCCAAAUUCGAAUAUUACUCUCAAAUUAGCGAGGCACUGCUACGAUACAGGGUAUUAACUCGAUCAUUGCUACGAUUCGAUGUCCGAUCGAUUGAAACUAUCCAACAGAUGUUUAAGUGCUGCCCACAUUAGGGUUAUACUUUGUCAUUCGUCGUGAUUUCGACUUGAAUGUUUGAGUGCUGUCCAAACUCGGGCUAUACUCUGUCAUUCGUUGUGAAUCCGCUGAAUUUUUAAGUAUCGCACUUUGUCAUUUGUUGUGAGGGUAUUAAUCUCGUGAGUUCAUCGUAAAUGCUGUAUUAGUUAAUUACCUAGUUUCGUGUGCAUUAUUAUUUAAACUAGGUUACCAGGCUUAUCCAUAGGAUAAACUUCACCCCAUACACUUACAAUCAAAGUAGAUGUUAAUUCUCAGAAGAAAAUGAAUCAGGAAGCUUGUUAAAUCAAUACUGCAUGCUUAUAAUGUAAUUACAGUAGAUUGGAGUAAGAAUUGGAUCCGACACUGAAGGACUUCAAGAAGUGGCUUAUUAAUUAAAUCAAAUUAAGAAAUAUUGUUUAUUAAAAUCUACCUUUGUAAAACAUGGAAUUUAUUCCAUCUAUUUAAAUAAAAUCCGGUGUUUCUAAACUCUGAUAGUUUUCCUAACUCACGGUCCUGAUGAAAUUUCCGCUGCAAAUGUUUUCAAAAAUAAACUACCGGUACCACGGGGCUGCUCACGGCUCUCGAUUCCGUCCAGGGUGGGUCGGGGGUCGUGACAAAAAAAGAAGAAGUUUCAACCAAUAAACCAAUAAGAAUGAUUCAUUCUACUUCAUUUAAUAUUUGCAUUUAAUUUUAAUAUAGUGGAAGGUUCAAAUGAGAAGAAAAAAAAUUGUAAGAAUAAAAAGAAUAAGUUUUAAAUCAAUAGAAAUGCUCAAUUUUACUUCAUUUAAUAUGUGUAUUUAAUGUUAUUAAUAAGCCAUAUAGGUAUAUUUCUAAUUGUAAUUAAUUAGCUAACUAACUAAAAUUGUAACUCACUUUUAAAUAUAUUCUUUCAAGAUAAAAUAAUUUAGGAUGAAGGACAAUUUUCGACAUGUGUAGGAUAAAUUUUAGUAUGUGUAUGAUAAAUUCUUAAAUGUGUAUGAUAAAUUUAGAUAUGCGUAGGGUAAAUUUCGGUAAGUGUAAGAUAUAUGUAGGAUAAAUUUUGAAAUAUGUAGGAUAAAAUGUUUUUUGCUUUAUUAAUGAGAGAUAACAUAAUUAAUGGGGGGAGUUAUAAACUAUUUAAUGUUUUAUCAUUAUGCAGUUUCUUCUUUUUCUUCUCACAUUAAAUUUUCUUCUCAAAUGAACCUUACCUAAUAAAAAUCAUGAUAUCUUGUGAGUCAUCAUCUUAGAAUAAAUGUGAAAACCGUAAUUGUUGAUAGUUGAUAGGUACCACUGCAAAUUUAAAAACAAAUAUGUAUCUAGAAUUAAAGGGCACACCUUUUCCUUUUUAUGAAAAUAAAUUCGGAAUUGGUGGCGCCCGAAAAAAUUCCUUCAUAUCAUAAUAAGUGCUUAAAAGAAAUAUAGUAUAUGUAGCCUAUGUGUCACAUGUCGGAUUGCGGCCGGAUUGAACCACCACUAGAAGGUUGCUAAAUAUACUGUAUUGGCUGAAGCUUACGUGUCACAUAUUGAGUUGCAACUUAGCUGAAACACCACUGAGUGAAGUUGUAUAUGAGAAACAAUAUCAUCAAUUCCAUAGAAUGUUUAAUUUUAAAUACAUGUAGGUUUUUGUUUGAUGUGGUAGGAAAAUCUAAAUAAUUAAACUUGUGCCUUAAUAGUUUGAUACGAGAUUAGGUAGAACUAUAAAUCUUGAGUGUGAGAUCCUUAAAUUGAAUGUCAACUUGAACUUAAUAUAUGAAUGGGAGCCUAAUUGUCUGGUGGUUGGGUUUAGAUGGAUAACCAAUAGUUGCGGCUAGUUUUUUUUUGGACGGUAGGAUUUUAUGAUUAUAGAAUAGUUGCGGUUAGUGUAUGAGUAUAUCUUCAAUGAAAUAACCUAAUGUUUUUGAAAGCCAUAUAUUUUGAUUGUGAUUCCAUUGCAGCUUUUUCAGGGACGAAAAUCGUUGAAGUGUGGGGAGAUUUGAUGUGUUGCUAAAUACCGUCACGUUAUUUAUCUAUGUAUUUUGCAUAUUUUUAGAUAAGUUUUUAUUUGUUUUUGUUUUUUAAAGCUUGUAUUUGAUUAUUUUGUGUUUUGGCAGAUCCAUGUGCAAAAUGGAGCAAAAACGAGCUGAAACGGUAACCAAACGAGCAACCGGGAGAAAGGAUAGAAGUGCAGGGUCCUAAACUAUAAUUUCUGAAGAAAUGUAGGGGUACCGCGUCAUGAGAAAGGAUCCUAGGGUGUGUUGCACAUCGCCUAGGGUUAUAAGAACACGUGAAAUACCCUUAAUGAAAUAAGGGUAUUUAUCCUUGUGUCGUCGCUUCAGUUCUUUAUCUUUCUAUGCCAUAAGAAUAUCGCGAGGCCGGGUUCCAUUUGGAUCGCGAUACGUGAGACGUGUAUUAAACAAAACAAACGUAUUUGAGUUGGAUUUAUGUCACACCCCGAUAUUUCCACAUGUUACCGGUGGGCCCGGCUGGGAGUAUCGUGACGUAGUUGAUAUCAUCAUAGUCAAAUAUACACAGUUUAUAGCACAGCAGAAGUCUUGGUAGAAAUUACUAUUAUAAACCGAAAGUGUAAAGUACGAAUAAAAUAAUAUACAGACGGUUGUAAGAAAGGAUCCACAGGCGGAUCUAAAACAUAAUAUAAAACAUUGUUCAACAGACU
rnacentral:lncRNA from 1 species